rnacentral:tRNA from 1 species
CAGACUAUGCUAAUAGAGGUAUUCAUUAUUUACAUUAAUGAAUUAUUUGUGCAAUUCAAAUUAGUUUGA